CCAGCACCUUAUGGUAUAUAUCAACAAAGAAUGACCUCACUUUGCUGUAUAGAAAGUCUCAUUAGUACGGAAGCAUAUAUGAAUUUCCUGGGUCAAGACUGUUUGGGGUUUUGCUAGGUUAUGUUAGGUUAAGUUUAGGGUAUCUUCAAACACAUGAUAGCCAGCACCUUAUGGUAUAUAUCAACAAAGAAUGACCUCACUUUGCUGUAUAGAAAGUCUCAUUAGUACGGAAGCAUAUACGAAUUUUCUGGGUCAAGACUGUUUUGGGUUUUGCUAGGUUAUGUUAGGUUAAGUUUAGGGUAUCUUCAAACACAUGAUAGCCAGCACCUUAUGGUAUAAAUCAACAAAGAAUGACCUCACUUUGCUGUAUAGAGAGUCUCAUUAGUCAUUUGGUUAAACAUAUUCUUUGGUUGAUUUGGGGGUCACAUCAGAUAUCUUUUCGGUGGAUUUCGGGUUGAGUCAGACAUCUUUUUGGUUGAUUUUGGGUUAGGUUAGACAUAUUUUUGGUACGCUUAAAUGCCUGAGAACUCCUGCCAUAUACCCCUUACCAUUUA